UGUUUUUACCCAUGUGACACAGUUUUUUAGGGGAUUUCCUACUGCUGUUGAAUUAAUUUAGUUGUUUACAAUUUUAUUCUAAAAAAAAUACAGUAUUAGCUAUAUUUAAUAAAACUAUGUAAUAGUCCGCGUUAUAAUGCAUUCGACAUUGGUGGUCUUGGGGUAUGUCGCCGCCUUCAUGACCCCAGGGCUGGGCUGUCUUCCAAAGGAAUAUGUAUCAAGGGAUGGGAAGUGCUGUCCGAUGUGCAACGAAGGUACAGUUGUUAGAAGAGACUGUACACUAAAGUCAGGCACACGGUGCAGCUCCUGUGUAAAUGGGACUUUUAUGAACAAACCCAACGGCCUGAGUAACUGUAUCCCCUGCAUCGUCUGUGACCAAGGUCAUGGUCUCUUUGUCAAACAGGAGUGCACAGCAACAACGAACACAGUCUGUGAUGUUUCAAGUGGGUGUUUCUGCAAAGAGUUGAUGGAUGAUACAGGAUGUAGUUUGGCACAAAAACAUACACAGUGUACACCUGGUGAGAGGAUAAAAGAACUUGGAACCAGGACAAAGGACACAGUGUGUGAACAGUGUCAGCCAGGCUAUUUUUCAAAGGAUGGUGUGAAUUGCACCGAUUGGACUAUUUGCUUAGAUACCCAAGUACAGGUCACAGAAGGAAGCACGAGCACUGAUGUUGUCUGUGGAACUGCUUCAAGACAGCGUUAUUGCCUUUAUAUACCUUUAUCAUUAUUCACAUCCGCAUUAAUACUCGCUGUGCUUGUGAUCACAGGCAGACUAACUAAAAUAACAAACUACACCCACAACCGUAUCAGCGCAUAAAAGAGGCUCGUGGUCUGACAUUGCUUGCUUGUGGAGAUUACCGUAUAGUUAACCGAUACUGCUAGAUCAAGUAAUUGAAGUUACCUUGCAUUGUCAUCAAAAAGUUAAGGACAAGGGCAGACUGCAGCGCAUCAUCCACUCUGCUGAGAGGGUGAUUGGCUGCAAUCUGCCAUCUUUCCAGGACCUGUAUGCCUCCAGGAAAGAUUUUAGCUGAUCCCUCUCACCCCACAACCUCCCCCCUCUGGCAGGAGGCUGCGCUCCAUCAGGACCAAAAGCUCACACCGAAAAACAGUUUCUUCCCCCCAGCAGUAAGACUCACCAACAAGGCCCCUGGCCCCCACUGACUCUUAACCCCCCCAUCCCUAGUCACUCCACUUUGCACUAACCUUCAUCCUGGACUGUUACAACUGCCCAUAUAUUCUUUGCAAAUUUUACAUUCAACCCAUUUAACCUUUUUUUUCUUAUGCAACAGUUACUUUGUAUGUAUAUAUUUGUUUUUCUGUAUGUGUUGUUUACUUAAUAUUAAUGUUUAAU